GGCUUCCUGUUGCUUUCCACAGGCUGCACUUUUGCACUGACUGCAUAGAAAGGGGAGGCAGAGUAAAUCCACCCCAUAUACACCUAAGCCCAGGCACCGUGCCUGGCUUGUACUGUAAAUGGGGCAACAAAA